rfam:Eubacterium sp. CAG:38 genomic scaffold, scf46
AGAUGUCAAGGUCAUAAUCCUUAUCACCGCGAUGCGCUCGCGCAAGCGCGGCUGUAAGGAUUCAUGAUCCGCCCAGUAUUCGCAUAAAAGUGAAGCGAAUGCUUCACGAUAUGCGAAUACUGGGCAGGAUUGUGAGAGUGCGCAGCACGGAGCAAUCCAUAUGACAUCU